CUCUUGGAAAAAAAAAAAAAAAAAAAAAAAAAAAAAAAAAAAAAUCUGUUCUUAUCAGUUUAAUAUCUGAUACGUCCCCUAUCUGGGGACCAUAUAUUAAAUGGAUUUUUAGAACAGGGAGAUGGAAGAAGAGCUUGCUCUGUCCACUCCACGCAUUGACCUGGUAUUGCAGUACCUCCAGGACCGGUGCACCUCUC